rnacentral:lncRNA from 1 species
UAAUGUAAAGCACAAUGUUUAAAGGUCCCUUCUUUUUUUUUGAAACAAGGCAAAAGAUUUGCCAUUUCAUUGAUUAAGAAGAAGGUUUAGACAGGCCACGAAGUGGCAAGAAAUAAAAUCUACUCUCGCGGCAUUACAACACUCAAAUUCUUGGCGCCCGCCAACGCCCAAAGCGACAACAACUCUUUUAUCUUACUAAUGACGACCGUCGUAGGUGCGGCGGUGUUGCGGAAAACUCUAGCAUUGCGCUCCGUCCAAAUUUCCCAGGAGAUUAGAAUCUUUAGUGAGGCGAGCAUCUUGGGGGAUUCAGAACGAAGAUAUACGUUUCCAUUCCACCAUUCCCACACCGAGCCCCUCGCUGACCAAGAAGUAGCCUGAGUGUGAUCCAUGCCAAGCCAACGAAGAAUAUCGUUCCACACACGAAGGGUGUAGCGACAUUGGAACAGUAAGUGGGCUGCCGUCUCUGGGCUUUGCUUGCAAAGCGGGCAUAGCCCGCAGUUGGGCCACCCACGUCGAGCAAGGCGGUCCGAUGUCCAGAUUCUAUCUUGAAGUACAAGCCAUGCGAAAAAUUUGCACCGCGGAGGAGCCCACACCUUCCACACCGAUAGGACCAUGGUUGACGUAGUUAGGCCCUCAAACUGCGCCUUGUAAGCCGAGGAAGCUGAGUACGAUCCGUCCUUGGUGAACUUCCAAAUAAUGGAAUCCUCCACGUCCUCAUCCAGAGUGACCGAGUCAAUCUUCUCCCAAAGUGCGACGAACUGGUGGACAUGGUCUACUGUGAGACCGUCGGAGAAGUCAAUAUGAGAGAUCCAAGUGUUGUUUGUUAAAGCAUGUUUGACCGAGCAGUUUUUCCUUCGGGAGAGGUCGAAAAUGCCAGGCGCUAGGUCCCGUGGGUGCAUGCCAUCAAGCCAGGAGGAGUUCCAGAACUUAGCCACAUGCCCAUUGCCAACCGUGACAGAAGUGGCAGCUGCAAAAAAGUCCCUGUCUUCAUCAGUGCAUGGCGUACCCAUACCAAUCCACGGUCUUGUGGGCUCUUGCCACUCGAACCAGAGCCAUCGAAGCCUAAGAGCCUUAGCAAACUUGUCCAAGUUGAGCACACCUAAGCCACCAUGCUUCUUAGGCUUGCAAACAAGGUCCCAAUUGACUUUGCAUUUCCCACCAGAAACCUUGUCGGUGGCCGCCCAAAGAUAGGCGCGACGGAUAGAAUCAAUCUUUCUGAGGACCUUAGCUGGGAUGUUGAGCGGCGUGAGGUGCUAAAUGGCAAUGGCAGUGAGAACAGCUUUGACAAGGAUGGCCCGACCGGCGGUAGCGACAUGUCUUCCUUGCCACGGAGGGAGUUUGCCAGCCACCUUAUCCUCAAGGUGCUGAAAGUGGAUCCUCUUGAGGCGCUUGACUGAUAAUGGUAGUCCAAGAUAUCUCAUUGGAAAGGACGUGCGGACAGCCGGAAAAGCAUGAAGAAUGUCUUGAAGAUCGACACUUUCACAACGAAUCGGGGCGACAAGGCUUUUAGCACAGUUAGUGACUAAACCGGUAACCUCUCCAAAGGAAGCCAGGACAGAAGCAAAAUACUGGAUGUCCUCCUUGAUGGGCUUGACAAAGAUGGCUGCAUCAUCAGCAUAAAGAGAGGCACGAAUGAUCAUUGUCCUACCACAGAGAGGAUGGAGGUGCCCUUGAGAUGUAGCCUUGUUUAGGAGAUGGUGCAGGGGGUCAAUUGCCAGCACGAACAGUAACGGGGAGAGUGGGUCACCUUGCCUAAGACCACGGCCAUGCUUCAGAGGGUCACCCAAAAUUCCGUUGAUCAAGACCCUUGAGGAGGAUGUGGAAAGGAGUGCCGAAACCCAGUCACGAAAUCUGCUCGGGAAGCCCAAGUGCCUUAGAAGAUCCAAGAGGAAAUCCCACCGCACGGAGUCAAAAGCUUUCUUGAUGUCAAGUUUGAAUAGUAGCAUCGGCGUCUUGUUGCGGUGGAAUUUCCUUGCCAAGCUUCUCACAUACGUGAAAUUAUCAUGGAUGCUCCUCUUCUUGAUGAAUGCGCUUUGAGCAUUAGAGACAAGGUUCUGCAUGUGUGGUGCAAGUCUGGAGGCCAUGACCUUAGCGAUAAUCUUGGCAAUGGCAUGGAUGAGGCUAAUGGGACGGAAAUCUGAGAUGCAUUCCGCCCCAUCCUUCUUUGGAAUGAGGGCAAUGUUUGCGGAGUUGAGCCAAUGAAGGUUGGAUGUAUGCAAGCUCGAGAAAUGGUUGACUGCGUUCAUAAUGUCGCCCUUGAUGAUUUCCCAACAGUCAUUGAAGAAGGCCCCGGUGAAGCCGUCCGGACCCGGCGCUUUGUCACUCGGCAUAUCAAAGAUCGCCUUCUUGACCUCCUCUUCCGUGAAGGCAGCCCCAAGGUCAGAGAGAUCGCAAGCGGGGGUUGGGAUGUGAUUCCAGUUGAUAUCAAUGUUGCGGGGCGGCCCCCUCUUGGUGACCUCCACGAAAUGGUUUUGGAUGAUGGAUUUUUUAUGCUCAUGCUCUGUGACCCAUCCACUGUUAUGCCUAAGGCGGUGAAUGAAAUUCUUGCGCCUUCUAUGAUUGACUCGGAGGUGAAAGAAACAAGUGUUGGCAUCUCCAUCUUUGAGAUUGGUAAUUCUCGAGCAUUGCCUUUUCCGCGCACGCUCGAGCACGGACAAGCUAACCACCUUGCGCUUGAGCCUCCUACGAAUAUCCAGCUCCUCUGCACUCAAAGGACGGCAUUCUUGGGCCACAUCCAGACGGAGAAUGACCUCUAGGGCCAUAUGUGUUUGUACCUUCGAAUGCGCAAAUAUUGUCUUGCUCCAUUUCCUAAGCACCUGACUUGUCUUCUUCAUCUUGUGGAAGAGGACGUGGUAAGGAUCUACAUGGUUCACCUCUUGGUUCCAUGCACUGUUGACGACCUCCUUGAAUCUGGGCAUCUUGAUCCAAAAGUUUUCAAAGCGGAAUGAUUUGGUCCUCGGUGGCCCUUUGUCAUUUGCGAGGAGGAGAGGGCAAUGGUCGGAGAGCGACGAGGAGAGAGCAUGUAGGAGGUGCGUGCCAAAGUGCAGGUCCCAUUCUUCAUUGCGGAAAAAGGAAUCUAGCUUGCUUAAGGUUGGGUCAUUUCGCUCAUUACUCCAUGUAAACUUCCUGUUUUGAAGAUGUAUCUCUUUUAGCUCGCACGCAUUGAGGGCGUUACGAAAGCGAACGAUGCGACUUCGGUCAACAUUCGCAUGGUUCUUGUCUCUCGCGCGGUAAAUUUGAUUAAAAUCCCCAUUAACCAACCACCUUUCGCCAGGGUGGGGCUUCUCGCUGACCAAUUCUUGGAAGAAGCCGUCUUUAAGGCUGCUUCUCGUCGGGUCGUACACGGUUGUGAGCUUGAAGGAUUCACCCGACGAGGAUAGGGAGACUUUGGCUGAGAGGAAGAAAGCACCAAUGUUUACAUCUUGGAUUUUGACAAAAUUUUCGUCCCAGAGAAGAAGGAUUCCGCCUCGAGUGCCAACAGACAGGCGUUGAGCAAAACUCUUUAACCGAUGUCCCCCUAGAAAAGAAGCAAUGAACGGGUCAACGUUCUGGAGCUUGGUGUCCUGGAGACACACAACGUGACACGGAGUGGCGGUGAUGGUCUCAUGGAUGGUGGCGCGGCGAUCAGGACAGUUCAAACCUCGGACAUUCCAGCACAAAAUACUCAAGUUUUGGUCUAACAUAAUUGAUAGCAGAUUACACCAUGGCCAAGCUUGGCAGAACUAGCAUCAGGAACACGUGGGAGCGUCACUAGAGAAGAAAUACUUGACAGCAGAUAGCAGAUUACAACAUGGUCAAGCUUGGCAGAACUAGCAUCAGGAACACAUGGAAGCGUCACGAGAGCAGAAUUACUUGACAGCAGCAAACAAACGUGUACGUAGGCCUCACCAGGGCAGGUAGCAGCGAUCACCAGGACCAGCAGCAAACAGGCGAACACUCUAAGGGUUGUAGCUAUCAUUGGAAACAGAGUACGACCACAGUGGCUGGCCUCGUCCAGCUUACGCCGCCUCCUCGGCAACCUCCUCUCCAGGCCGCUGCAGGUCCGGUCCAGCUUCACCACCAUGCUCCACAAGCGCAUCUUCAACUGCCUGCGCCAGGUCGCAGUCGAGGUUGAACAGGGCUCUAAGAGCAGAAAUUGUGAUGUCCGGCAGCCUCCCCUGGAACAUGGCAACGAACUUGCCGAUGGCCUCAUCGGUAGCCUGCUGGCCCUCGUCGAUGAUGCCCAUACGUUGGCAGAGCAGCCUCUCUGCCAUCUGUACAACCGGCAUUGCCCUGUUCUUGGUCUGAAGACGCGGACUGCGCCUGCUCAGGUUGAAGCCCGAAACGCCUGCCAGCGUCUUCCGUCGCGCCGCGGGCCGUCUUGGAGCCGUGGAGCUAGGUGCAGGAAGCAGGGGUGGCUGGCGAGCCACAAACAGCGGGGAGUGCACAUCGGACGCUGCCUGGCUCCCAGGCGGGCUUGACAUCGGGAUGUGGAUGGGUGUGACCGGCUCAGGCUCCACGGUCGGCGAGGGGGCAGCCUGGCGGGGCUGCCAGCUGCUAGGAGAGGAGGACGGCUGCAGAUGGAUGACGUCACGUCCCGUUGUGCGGGGGGAAGUGGGUGGCUGCACCUCAAUGACAUUGCUUCCCAAUGAGCGGGGGGAAGCCAGCUGCGUCUCCGGUGAUGCGGGGCGAAUCGAAGCUUGUCGCGCCAUGAGCCCAAAGCAGGGGGCGACCCACCGUAGCCAGGAAGCAUCAGCAAGGGAGGAGCCGGCCACCGCGAUGUCGCGGGAGGUGGUGCGCGGGGAAGGUGGCGGGGAGCGGCCGCGGGUUUCUUCAGUGACUGGGCUAGCAGCAGCACCGGAGCGCCCCACCCUAGACACGCAGUCAGCAGGACGACGGCGGCCACGCCGGCCGGAGGCAGGAAGGACCGAGCCAUCCGGGAGGCGCUGAACCCGCCUAAGGUCGAUGGAGCGAGCGUCAGGGGUAGCUGCGCCGAGCCCCCUACGUCUUCCGUCACGGCCACCCUCCCGGCGGUCGUCUCUGUCAUCGCGGUGGCCGCCGCGGUGGUCACGGCGGUUGUCAUCGUCGCGCCGCUUCGGGGCGCGAGACCUGCUGCGGAAGAUGCGUUCCCGUCAGGAGGAGGGUCGAUCUUCACGGCCCCUACGCCCACGGUCACGAUCAUCGUCCGUGCGGUCGCGGUCGCGGUCGUGGUCCUCAUCUCUGCGCCGUCCAGCCAUCUCCGAGCUGUCGCGCAUCCUGGACUCGCCGUCGAUGUAUCCCUUCCGCCAGGUGAGAGGAUGCGAUGAGCGUGGCCGGCUGGGGAUGUCGCCGUUGGCACCAGGGGUGAAAUCCUCCACCAUGGUGAGGUGCACCAGGACCCGCCUCUUCAGAGCAUGCCUGCCCACAGCGGCACUCGGGCCCGAGGAGUAGCCCGCCGGCUGCUUGCCGGUGACAGUGAGGCGGAGGACCUUGGGGAUGACAGAGGGGUUGGCCGACCACGCCCAAAGGUUGAACGUGGAGGCGUCCUCCCGGCGCACGGUUUCCACAUCGAAGUAGUGGAGGAAGGUGUCGGGGCCGAGGACCUGGGUGGCCACCUCGUCGCACCAGGCAUUGAGCGGGAGGUUCUCAAUGCAGAGGUGGACGUGGUAGAACGCUUCCACCGAGUCCGCAUGUGCCUCGAGACGCCACUUAGCAGCAUGAAUGUCGAGGCCGUCGUAGCUGAACUGCCCCGGUGACGCCGUGAGCAGGUCACGGUGGUGCUGGAAGGUGAAGAGGACGAAGAAGUCUUCCGGAAAGUGCGGCACCACUUUGAUGUAGUUGCGAUUGAUGACAAACUUGGUGGCGAUGGCGCUCCUUAUCUCCGCCGCGUCAACGCGGGGCUGGUUGCCUCCAAGCCACACCACCGCGCCCAGGUUGGACAGAGUGGCCGCACUGUCCUCCAUAGCAGGCGUGGAGGUGAUGACGACAUGCGCCUCCUCUGGACGCAGAGCGGGGUCACCCACGCGCGGCAUCACCGGAGCGCGACGUAGCAGGGUCGGCGACGGGACCAAGGAAGCGAUCGGGGCGGGCGCUGGGCUUCUCGAAGAGGGAGGCGAGGCCGUGCAGUCCUUGGCGCGGUGACCGCACCCCCGACACGCGCGGCACUUGAACGGAUUCCGACAGUCCGCCUUGCAGUGGCCCUUGUCCAAGCAGCGGUGGCAAGUGUGAUACUUGUGCUUGAUGAAGGAGCCGCGACCAGGAGGGGAAAAAGAAGCCAGGGCCCUCCUGCACCUUGAAUACUGGUGGUUGGGGAGCGCUCUCCACCAGUAUGGUGGCUUUACGAUCUGCCAACCCUCCAUCGAGCUGUCGCUGGAAGACGCGGGGGGCACAGGGCUCGAGCUUGGCGCUGGGCUGGAGCGACGGGACGUCCCGGCCACCCGCCGGCCGGUCUUGAAAGCUCCUGCAGGCGCCGUCUUGAGGCAUGGCCGGUGUGCGCCAUGAAUGGAGGGUGGUGGAGUGGAGUCCAGCACGACCGCAUUGAUGGCGAAUCUGACAGCGCGUGGCCGAGGCGACGCACCACAGUCCACCAUAGCAUCCUCCGGAUGGGAGUCGGCGGCGAAGGACGAGCCUGAGGCAGCAGGCAGGCGCAGCGGCGAUGCAAGAUCCGGAGAGCCGACCUCCAGAUGCGGCAGGCAGAGGGGGCCCGAGCCCGCCGCGGCCGCACACCGGGCGGAGAAACCAGGAGGGAAGGGCGGCGUCGGCGGGGAUCCGGCCUGGGGGCGGACCUGGGCGGUGGCGGCGGCGGCGGUGGUGGCUGCGGGCGCCGGGGUGGCGCGCCGCAGGAGCGUGGGCGAGUACAUGAGCGUUCCUUUUCUUUCCCCAAAAGGUCCCUUCUAAAGUUGACGAGCAAUUAUUUUCUUAAUUAACUAGUAACUACUACAUUAAAUGCUAUAACUUAUUGUUUGUUAACAUGUUUAUAUUUUUGUACUAACUAAAUUUCAUCUCCUAAAUAUUGUAUCUUGAAACUGGUGCAAAUGUGUGGUCUUGUAACUAGCUACUGAGGUUGGAGGCUGAUGGUCGUGAAGUUUGAUAUUUUAAUGGUUGUGAACACAAAAACUUCUAAGAUAGAUGGGAACUUCGAUGUGCGUAUUGACAAUAUUUGAGCUACUUUUGUUUUAUAAUGUGGAUGAGGUAGACAUCAAGCCUGUAGUGCUGAGAUUGAACUUGUACCGGG